rnacentral:rRNA from 1 species
UGCUAUCGGAUGAUACUAAGCCAUGCGAGUCUUUGUAGUAAUACAAGGCAGACGGCUCAGUAACACGUAGUCAACCUACCCUAUGGACAAGAAUAAUCUCGGGAAACUGGGCAUAAUUCUUGAUAGAUCAUAAUGCCUGGAAUGGUUUAUGGUUAAAAUGAUUCGUCGCCAUAGGAUGGGACUGCGGCCUAUCAGCUUGUUGGUGAGGUAAUGGCCCACCAAGGCGAUUACAGGUACGGGCUCUGAGAGGAGAAGCCCGGAGAUGGGUACUGAGACACGGACCCAGGCCCUAUGGGGCGCAGCAGGCGAGAAAACUUUGCAAUGUGCGAAAGCACGACAAGGUUAAUCCGAGUGAUUUCUGCUAAAGAAAUCUUUUGCCAGUCAUAAAACCACUGGUGAAUAAGGGGUGGGCAAGUUCUGGUGUCAGCCGCCGCGGUAAAACCAGCACCUCAAGUGGUCAGGAUGAUUAUUGGGCCUAAAGCAUCCGUAGCCGGCUUUGUUAGUUUUCGGUUAAAUCCAUGUGCUCAACGCAUGGGCUGCCGAAAAUACUGCAUGGCUAGGGAGUGGGAGAGGUAGACGGUACUCGGUAGGAAGGGGUAAAAUCCUUUGAUCUAUUGAUGACCACCUGUGGCGAAGGCGGUCUACCAGAACACGUUCGACGGUGAGGGAUGAAAGCUGGGGGAGCAAACCGGAUUAGAUACCCGGGUAGUCCCAGCUGUAAACGAUGCAGACUCG